rnacentral:rRNA from 1 species
UACGAAGGGGGCUAGCGUUGCUCGGAAUUACUGGGCGUAAAGGGAGCGUAGGCGGACAUUUAAGUCAGGAGUGAAAUCCCAGAGCUCAACUCUGGAACUGCCUUUGAUACUGGGUGUCUUGAGUGUGAGAGAGGUAUGUGGAACUCCGAGUGUAGAGGUGAAAUUCGUAGAUAUUCGGAAGAACACCAGUGGCGAAGGCGACAUACUGGCUCAUUACUGACGCUGGAGGCUACGAAAGCGUGGGGAGCAAACAGG